rnacentral:rRNA from 1 species
UACAGAGGUCUCAAGCGUUGUUCGGAUUCAUUGGGCGUAAAGGGUGCGUAGGUGGCGCUGUAAGUCAGGUGUGAAAUUUCGGGGCUUAACUCCGAAACUGCAUUCGAUACUGCCGUGCUUGAGGACUGGAGAGGAGACUGGAAUUUACGGUGUAGCGGUGAAAUGCGUAGAUAUCGUAAGGAAGACCAGUGGCGAAGGCGGGUCUCUGGACAGUUCCUGACGCUGAGGCACGAAGGUCAGGGGAGCAAACGGG